AAUUUAUCAAUUAAAACAAACAAGAGAUUGUGAAAUGAGUUGUGACUAGCAAAGUUGCAUUGCAGACCAAUUCGUAACAGGCUAUAUGAUCCAAGCUAUGCUGAGAUUGGACAACCGGUUGAUCCUUACUUGCGCCUGAUGGAGUUGAAUCCAAACUUCUGCGAUAAUAGAGACAACAAGUGAAGAACAGAUUAGGCUGGCUAGAGCUUUUGAUGGCAUCUAACAAAGAACAAAAACUAUGAAGGUUUUUUUGUUUAACUGAAGAACAAAUACCGGCUCAUUUUGAAUAUUUUUUUUUAUUUUUUAUUAAUUUAUUUUUGUAAGGGGGUAUAAAAGAGGUUCGAUGAGAAUCGAAUUCAUACCUCAAAUUUAUGCAAGUUUUACAAACUACGUACUCCCUAUUCAGUGUUCUUCAAUUUUUUUUAUGUUAUCAAAAUAAUUGAUUUUUCUUCCUUGAA